rnacentral:lncRNA from 1 species
GGGCUCCCCCUGGGUGCACAUUUCGUUUUUACCCCAAGCGCUACACAGCUAAUUAAAAUAACCGACUCAUCACCAAACUUGGAUUAUUUUAAUCAGCUGUGUAGUGCUAGGGCAAAAAAACAAAACCUAGUUUGGAAAACGCUGAUCUAUAGGGUUGAACUGCAGCGUUGACAUUUUUCCUGUAGAGAGCAGUAGACAUUUUGAUAAAACUCUCUUGGCUGCAUACUGCACGCACCCAUACUGUAAAGGAGAGGGGCCUAUAUGUAGUAUUGCUGUCUGUUGCGUUUCCCGGUCGUAGCAGCGGAACGAGAACGGUGCUAAAAUGUCCAUAGUGGAAAACCAGAGUAUUAAGAGCUCAUUUACUCCGUUUCUGGAAUAGUCUGCUCAACUAUUUGCAUCCGUGUUUACGGAUGGUUGGUUAACGUUUCCCGUCUGAUAAAUUCUAAACUGCGUUGUUCGUUAAAUUCCUGACCAGGAGAUACGUACGACUACCACCGGUAGCCAGGGAAACUGGUUGGAUUUGACACUUGUAUCGGCCCGGGACUGCCAUGGAAAAGACACCUCCUUUAUUCGUCUGCGGCAAGGUGCAGGCAGACUGAUCCACUGGAAAGCACCUUUUCAGGAGGUAGACAAGGACAGAGCGGUGGUGCACGUCUCAGAGGCUUUGAGACCCAGGGCUUGCCAAGCUAGUGGGUUGCUGCCUAAAACCAACACGGAAAGAGCCUGAAACAGUUUGCCUGGGUGGCAGCAUCACAUCUUCAGACCCAGGAAAAUGGCACGCCUGGGAGGCAGUCAAAACCAGAAAGCUGCAUGCUUGGGGGACAGUCACUUACAUUAAACAGCACAGCGGCAGGCCUGAAUGGUUUGGGGAACUUAAGAGGAGCGCGCUGCAUUAGGGGCUGAGAUGGACUAAUAAGGGAGCCUGGGUUGCAUCAUCGGCCAAUAAUAGCUCACCUCGAGGAAAGGGCUGUAAGAAGAACAGUAAGACCCAGCAGAGCGCGGUGAUCAGAACAAUCCACAGGUGAGUUCUCUGGUUCCUUCCCACUUGGCCCUUUCUCGCAGCCUUAUGAUGCAGUGGGUGAAACA